rnacentral:rRNA from 1 species
UACGAGGGGUGCAAGCGUUGCUCGGAAUUAUUGGGCGUAAAGGGUAGGUAGGUGGUCUCAUUUGUCUGGGGUGAAAGCCUCGAGCUUAACUCGAGAAGUGCCUCGGAAACGGUGAGACUAGAGUCUUGGAGAGGGUCGUGGAAUUCCCGGUGUAGCGGUGAAAUGCGUAGAUAUGACAUAGAACACCAAUUGCGAAGGCAGCUCGCUACGCGGUUAUUGACACUGAGGCACGAAAGCGUGGGGAUCAAACAGG